AGGUUGAUCAUUUGUAUGUGCUA
rnacentral:siRNA from 1 species